GCUCUUAGGUUAAGUUCUGUAUGAUUCCACUUUCCACUUACAAUUUUACCAAAUUCACAGGCAUCUUCUUUUGUCAUCCAGGGCCCUAUGAUGAUACAGCAACAUCUUGUGCUACCAACUGUCAAAACUUUGGAUGGUCUAACACUCAGGUCAUGACCCUUGUAAUUAAGAAAUUCUUGAAGACAAUAUUCAGGAGAAAAUGUGAUUUGAGUCUGGAGACAAUUGUGUAUGUAAGUAUUUGGAAAUUAGAUUUUCCAGGGGUGAAAUCUAAUUAACAACUAAAAUAUUAUUAAAAUUUUUU
ensembl:lncRNA